GACGAACGCUGGCGGCGUGCUUAACACAUGCAAGUCGAGCGGAAAGGCCCGGCGCUUGUUUGUCUCUCGAUUGGCGAACGGGUGUGUGACACGUGUGUAAACUGCCCUUGUCUUUGUGAUAACUCCUGGGAACUGGGGCUCAUACCGGAUAUGAUCUCUUGCUGCACGUUGUUGGUUGGAAAGUUUCGGCGGUUCGGGCUGGACUCGAGGCUUAUCAGCUUCUUUGUGGGGUAGUUGCUGUCCAAGGUUUUGACGGGUAGCCGGCCUGGGAGGGUUACCGGCGACAUUAGGACUGCGGUACGGCGCAGACUGCUACGGGAGGCAGCGGUGGGGAACCUUGCAGAAUGGGCGGAAGCCUGAUGUAGAAGCGCUGCGUGCGGGAUACCGGCUUUCGGGUUGUAAACCGCUUUCGAAUGUGACGAAGCGUGAGUGACGGUAAUGAGUAAAAAAGCACCGGCUAACUACGUG
rnacentral:rRNA from 1 species